rnacentral:rRNA from 1 species
UACGUAGGGGGCAAGCGUUGUCCGGAAUUAUUGGGCGUAAAGCGCGCGCAGGCGGCUUUGUAAGUUUGGUGUUUAAUCUCAGAGCUCAACUCUGAUUCGCAUCGAAAACUGCAAGGCUUGAGUGCAGAAGAGGAAAGUGGAAUUCCACGUGUAGCGGUGAAAUGCGUAGAUAUCGGAAGGAACAUCAGUGGCGAAAGCGACUUCCUGGACCAAUACUGACGCUCAUGUGCGAAAGCGUGGGGAGCAAACAGG